CUUUUUUUUUUACCACGUCACCGACAGAAAUGGAAAUAUUGGGCCUGAUUUUUUUUAUCUGUUCCAAAAUUAUCGUGUGGCCCAUUAGGCCCAAACUUGAGAUGCUGAGUUGUUGAUAUGUUUCGUCCCUUCUACUUCUUCAUCUCCUUUGCCGAUUCUUUCACCUCUGUUUUUUUUUUUGGUAAAACCUCUGUUUCUUUUCCUUUCAAUAAUAAACACUUUCAUCGAUGAAUCCAGAAUGACUAUCUCCCUUCCCUCAUCAUAACCCUCUUCUUAAUCUUGUAUUUCUGUUUCUGAUUGUUCCUGCAGAAACGAGUAGUUUGUUUUGGUUUUCUUUACUCAUUCCUUCAUGUUUCUUUCAACCUCCCUUUGUUUCUCCUUCUAUUUAAACACCUUCAUCGAAUCUUACAUGCAACCAAAAUCUCUUAUCUAUGUCUCUUUGCAUCUGCAAAAAACAGCUGUUUCUAUUUCUAAUCGUUUUUGAUGCUUUUAAUCCGUGGAGCCGUGUAUUCCAUAUCGGUUGUUUUCUCUGAUCCCGACGUCGCGUCUGACUCACUGGCAGCUCGAUCAUGGUAUGCUAUGUUUAUCAAUUCCGUUAUUCGAUCGUCUCUGUAUAGCUAAAUCGUCUACACACAUAAAUAUUUUUUUCUGGGUUCCUUGAUACGAUCAAAAGCCCUUGAAUGGUGAUUGCUCCAUAAUGUUUAGUUAAGCUUUGUGUUAGUAAAUGUAAAGGCGCUAACUUUUGUCACAAAAUACUUCAGGUGUUGUGGUAACAGCUAAUGUGAAGACUGAGAAGCUAGCUACAGGUUUGCCUGAUCCUUUUCUUGCACAACUGAAGACAUCAAAAGAUCAACUUGCUAAAGAUGGCUACUCGGCUUAUUCUCAAGCUUGAAGAAAGCAACAGUUCCACUUGGUUCACUAAUGGAACAACUCAAAGGUUUUAUACCAAAAAAUUGUCUUAACAUGAAACUUUUGGGGUUGGACACCAUGAUCGAAACUGAGACCUUUCCUUCUUAUUUUUUAUCAGUAGAUUAAGGAAGCAAUUGGCAUCCAAACAAUUUUGAAGAGGCAAUAACUGUUGUAAGUUAAGUUGGUUUUUAUAUGUACUUUUUUUGGUAAAUUCAUCAUUUUAACGUUACAUUUUAUAAGCAGGUGUAAGACUAUCCACAAACAAAAAGAGCAGAAGGUAUGGAUGCUAUAUUAUAAUGAUUCAAUGUUUUUAUAUGCCAAUAUCUAAGGAUUUGCUUGCCUCUUGGCUCUUGAUCUUACAGUUUAACCAAUAUUUGUUGAGAAUGUGAAUCAGAUAAGAAGGCAGUUCUACAGCUCAACAAGGAGAAAGCCAUUGUCCUCUAUGAGGUUACAUAGAACCAAAAUAGUUUCUAAAAUUAAAAGGAUUUCUUCUCAUAUUUUUCUCUCUUGAGAAAACAAUUAAUUUCUUCUUCUUCUUCUUCUAUCUUUUGACAGCCUGAUUCACACCCGUAGCAACCAAAUUGUUCUACCGCAUCUCAUGAAAAAUAUACCCUUUUGCAUGAAAGUUAUUUAUUUUAUGUUUGUUUAAGAAACAGAAGAGUUAAGUAUCUGACUGGUAAUGUGGAAUUGUUUACCAGGGUUCAAGUCAUGAUAGUUCUGGAGACAAGGAAUACGGUGUUACAGAAAAAACAAGAACAAAGACAAAGAAAUUUUGAUAUUCUCAGAGUGAAACAUAGCGAGAAGAUGCUAUAAGAUGCGAGAUGUACAUCAAAUAUGAAUCACGCAAGGUUCAUGCAGAAAUAUGGAGAAGAGUCAGGGAAAAGAGGAAGAAGAGGACAAGAGAUUGGAGCAAAUAAAGUGAUCCAGAAAGUGAGAGAAAAAUCUAAGAAGAUCAUGAAUUGUCUUACCAACCAUGGUCAGAGUCACUGCCAGGAUCUUGAUCAUGAAGAAGAAUAUGACGAGCAAGAACCAGAAUAGCAUAGUGAGCUAGUGUAUACACGGGCGGUGUAACAGGUCAACCGGAGGCAUUGAGUCAUCCCGGGAAAAACUAAUUUUUGGCACAAGAAGAGAUCGUUCCACCAUGGACCAAAAAUUUCAGUUUGUGUCUUCGGAUUUGAUGAUAGGCUGCCUCUUAUAAAUAUUUUAAAUAAAAUGUGAGAAAUAAAUUGGAAAUAUAAUGUCAAGUAUGCAUAUGUUCGAUAAUUUCAGAUAUCCAUUCAGGUUUGGAUAUCCAAUAUCUCCUAAUUCAAUACCAAUUCUGGUAUUUUAUUA